CAUAGUAAACAUUGAACUUGCAAUUGAAAGUAUAUUGUGUGAUUACGAAGCCACAGUACUAGCUUUAGACAUUCAUAUUAAAAGGCUUGUCCUGAAAACAACUCUUUAUUUCUUGGUGUACUUUUUGUGGAAUUUUUUGGGAAUGUUUAAGGAAGUUUCUAUGUAACUAUUUUCAAGUAUAUUUCGGGAACUUAUAUUCAAAGCAUAAACAAACCCAAGUUGUACCUAUUUCUGUGAAGAAACUGAGAGUAAAUCCAUUUCAAUCAAAAUGUGCUAUCCGUGCUAUUCCUGCUGUGGAUCCUGUGGACCUUGCGGACCCUGUGGAUCUUGCUGUGGAUCUUAUUGUGGUCCCUGUCGCAGUGGAUGUGGUCCCUACUGUGGAUCCUGCUGUGGUGGUUGUGGACCUUGCUGUGGUGGCUGUGGACCUUGCUGUUAGCAUCUUCAGAACGAAAUUUAGGUACACCACAUUAAUUAUUUCAUUAAAUUAAUUUAUGUAGAAUUUACAAAAUGUCAUUAAAAUGGGACAAGCCUUGAA